rnacentral:rRNA from 1 species
CCUAACCGUAAAAUAUUAACUCACACCCAUCAACGCCCGGGUACUACGAGCCCCAGCUUAAAACCCAAAGGACUUGACGGUGUCCCAUCCACCUAGAGGAGCCUGUUCUAUAAUCGAUAAUCCCCGCUAAACCCAACCUCCUCUUGCAAUCAGUCUGUAUACCUCCGUCUAAGCUUACCAUAUGAAUGACCCAGUAAGCUAAAUGAUUAUAACACCCCAAUACGUCAGGUCAAGGUGCAGCUCAUGAGAAGGCAAGCAAUGGGCUACAAUUUCUAAUCUAGAACAAACGAAACACUGCAUGAAACUCAGCUGUGAAGGAGGAUUUAGUAGUAAAAAGAAAAUAGCGUGUUCUUUUUAACAUGGCCCUGGGACGUGUACACACCGCCCGUCGCCCUCUUCAAUAGUUACAUUAUAGAUUUAUAACAACUCACUACGCCUUAGAAGAGGUAAGUCGUAACAUGGUAAGUGUACCGGAAGUGUACUUGGAUCAACAAAGUGUAGCUUAA